AGGGGUAGCUGUUGCCUGAACGCCGGAGCGCUCCCCUCUCGCCGCUUGCCUCGCCCAGCGCAGCCCCGGCCGCUGGGCGCACCCGUCCCGUUCGUCCCCGGACGUUGCUCUCUACCCCGGGAACGUCGAGACUGGAGCGCCCGAACUGAGCCACCUUCGCGGACCCCGAGAGCGGCGGCGCGACUCACCGCGGAGGCGCCCGGACGCGUCAAUGUCCCCCAGGGCAAGGCCUGAACCAGGUCGCGAGGGUCUGUCUCCCGUCUGGGGAGCUGAACUGCCCGAGACACUGUCGCAGUCGCGGGGACUUGUCUGGAGCGGCGGGGUCUGAGCCCAAGUCGGAAGCCGCCGCCGCCGCCAGCGUCCCGUGCGCCUGCCGCCCCGGGACCAGCCGCGAAACUUCUUCUCGGGACGGAGACAGCGCUCGCCGCCCGGGCCGAGGCCCAGCCCAAUAGGAAGCACCUGAUCCACACUCUUUCUAGCCCCAGGGAUGCUCAGGAAAGCAGCCUUUCUUUAGGGCUGUCAUCUGUUCUGGGGAUCUGUUGCUGUUUCUUGGGCCCACAGAAUACACUCCACACCUCGGGACUCCAUAAUAUUGGACAAGGCUGGAAGGCCCAUUUGGCUCCUGCAGCCUCUUAUGCAGGAGGACCUCCUGAGGCUUCGGGCAGGAGCUGGUGCACACCUGGAGGAGAGUGCUGGUGAAUGGCAGGUGUGUGCCUCAGUGUCCUUGCUGCCAGGGUGUCAGCCCUGCUUCACCACUGGCCGUUUGUCUCUGUCCCCUCCACUGGCCUCUUGAAGCACAGAGACCCUCCGGGUACUUUCCUUCCUCUGGGCUUCCACUCAUGCUAUUCCCUGCUCCCUUUUUCUACCUGGAGACCCCCAUUCCUCCUCCUCCUCUGCUGCCCUCACCUCCACCUGGGCCCUCCCAGCUCCCGGGAGAUGGCUGAACCCCACUCCCCACCCGCUAGUCAUCCUCUUCAGCGGUCCUCCCAGAGCUGUCCUCAGCAUGGCAGCCUCCACAGCCCCUGGGUGUCACCCCCGGUUUCGUGUCUGCCUCGGACUCCAGACCUGCCCCUCCCAGGCUGGCCCAGAUGGAUCCUCUACAGUGACUAACCCAAACCAGCACCAGGCAGGGACCCAAUAAACCUUUGUGAAUGGAGUAAAUGA
rnacentral:lncRNA from 1 species